UACGUAGGGUGCAAGCGUUAAUCGGAAUUACUGGGCGUAAAGCGUGCGCAGGCGGUUAUGUAAGACAGAUGUGAAAUGCCCGGGCUUAACCUGGGAACUGCAUUUGUGACUGCAUGGCUAGAGUGUGUCAGAGGGGGUAGAAUUCCACGUGUAGCAGUGAAAUGCGUAGAUAUGGUGGAGGAAUACCGAGUGGCGAAGGCAGCCCCCUGGGAUAACACUGA
rnacentral:rRNA from 1 species